rnacentral:rRNA from 1 species
GGUUUCCGUAGGUGAACCUGCGGAAGGAUCAUUGUCGAAAACUGCACAGUUAAGCCACAUGUUAACUUGUUAUUAACCAUUCCAUGUUGUUUGUAGGAAGGUUGCCUUGGCUCCGUCGUACGAUGACAUGAACAAUUUUUCGGCGCGGAAUGCGUCAAGGAAAACCAACAUUAACGUAAGGCUAGCCCUCUUGCUGCUGUUUGGUUGUAUGGAGUGGAGGGUGUUGCAUCGUUGAAAUAUAUGGUUAAAUGACUCUCGGCAACGGAUAUCUCGGCUCUUGCAUCGAUGAAGAACGUAGCGAAAUGUGAUACUUGGUGUGAAUUGCAGAAUCCCGUGAACCAUCGAGUCUUUGAACGCAAGUUGCGCCUGAAGCUAUUUGGCUGAGGGCAUGUCUUCCUGGGUGUCAUACUUUAUGCUGCCCCUUCUCCCUCCAACUGUGUGGAUGAGAGGGGCGAAGAUUGGUCUCCUAUGUGUCCCCGUGCACAUAGGUGUCUUAAACAUGGAGCUUGAUGUAGUGAGCACUGUGAUGAUUGGUGGUUGGAUGGGCUUUUUGCCCAGAAGCAUCUUGUCAGGAAGUGCCGUGCUGAGUUUUGCUAGAAUGAUUUGAAUUGGUUUGAAUUCAAUGUGAAUAAAUUGCUAUGAUUUGACAACAGUUGCGACCCCAGGUUA